AUUGAACGCUGGCGGCAGGCCUAACACAUGCAAGUCGGGCGAGCGGCGGACGGGUGAGUAAUGUAUGGGGCCCUGCCUGGUGGCGGGGGCUAACUACUGGAAACUGUAGCUAAUACCGCGUACCAUUGGCUCAGCCCAAGUGGGAUUAGGUAGUUGGUGGGGUAAAGGCUCACCAAGCCGACGAUCUCUAGCUGGUCUGAGAGGAUGACCAGCCACACUGGGACUGAGACACGGCCCAGACUCCUACGGGAGGCAGCAGUGGGGAAUAUUGCGCAAUGGGGGCAACCUGACGCAGCCAUGCCGCGUGAAUGAAGAAGGCAUUCGGGUUGUAAAGUUCUGUCGGUAGCGAAGCGUUAACUACAGAAGAAGCACCGGCUAAAUCCGUGCCAGCAGCCGCGGUAAUUC
rnacentral:rRNA from 1 species